rnacentral:rRNA from 1 species
GGACUACCAGGGUAUCUAAUCCUGUUUGAUCCCCACGCUUUCGUGUAUGAGUGUCAGUAUAGGACCAGGUCGCCGCCUUCGCCACCGGUGUUCCUCCAGAUAUCUACGUAUUUCACCACUACACCUGGAAUUCCACGACCCUCUUCCUUACUCAAGUUUGGUAGUUUUGAAUGCCCUUCUUGGGUUAAGCCCAAGGAUUUCACAUCCAACUUACCAAACCACCUGCACACGCUUUACGCCCAAUGAUUCCGAACAACGCUAGGACCCCCCGUCUUACCGCGGCUGCUGGCAC